GACGAACGCUGGCGGCGUGCUUAAUACAUGCAAGUCAACUUGACUUUAGAUAGCAAUAUCGAAAAGUAGGGUGGCGCACGGGUGCGUAACGCGUAGGUAAUCUGCCCUGAGGUCUGACAUAACCCGUCGAAAGGCGGGCUAACAUCAGAUGAUAUAUAAUCACGACAUCGUGGAAAUAUCAAAUCUUCGGAGCCUUGGGAUGAGCCUGCGUCUGAUUAGGUAGUUGGCGGAGUAAUAGCCCACCAAGCCUACGAUCAGUAGCUGGUCUGAGAGGAUGAUCAGCCACACUGGAACUGAGACACGGUCCAGACUCCUACGGGAGGCAGCAGUAAGGAAUAUUGCUCAAUGGGGAAACCCUGAAGCAGCAAACGCCGCGUGAAGGAUGAAAU
rnacentral:rRNA from 1 species